UACUCUUCGGUCACCGUGAAAUUUGUUGUCACUUGAACGCAACAGUACUGAAAGUUGAUUGACAAUGUUUUCUGAAAUGAUUUGGAUGCUCACACAAUUACUAAAAUUUGAUUUGCUAGCUCGGCGGAACUUCCAAAAGCUCUCAAUUUGUUAUCGGGCUUUCCACAAACAAUCUGCUCCUGCAUUGACAAGGUAUAUACCGUACAUUGUAAUCUCAAUCAACUAUGGGAGCAUGUGUCAUGUGUGUAUAUAUGACAAGCUGAGUCCCAGACUAUAAGCUUAUUUCUGUGCUACCUAUGCUUCUACAUUUCUUGUAAUUUAAAAUACUUGAUGCUAAUAUAAUUGUUCUGUUCUGAGUUCUGACCAUUACAAGAAAUUUUAACAAUUAUUCACCUGGCCUCAAAGCCUGGAGCACUUAUUAGUUGUUUCCAAAAGGGUGGAGUAUCCACCAAGAUUAAGCAUGGCAGAUUACUCUUGCUCAUAUUCGGGAUCAUCUUCCGCUUCCAGGUUCAGUUGUCGUUUUUUAUCAGUUGAUCAGAUGCACCUCCAAGAUGGUUGAAAAUCCGAUGUCUUUACAGAAAGAUUCGAUUAUGGAUAAGAUCUGUGUAAGUUCUUCCAAUAUCGAUGAAUUUACCAGAACAUCUUCAUUAUGAUAAAAUAAGAUACGCAUAGCUUUCUAAAUCUUACUUCCGAACAUAGUAAUGAAUAUAUUUACAGUGGCUCAGAGAAAAUCUGAAAAAACAAGGUUAUACGGAUUCGAUCUCCUAAAUUACUUGAGAGUAGUCUAUCAUGUACUGAAUCAAGUGGCAUUUUUUAUGUCAUGUUUAUAUUAUUUCC